GAACAGCAAUGGGAGUUUUACAAAGAUCUGAUUCACCAACAGCAAGAUAACUUUAAGACAUUUGUCCAAUUAAUCAUGGAUGGAACUAACAAAAGGUUGGACAGCAUUCUAAGGGAUGUACAGGAUGUUAAAUCCAGCCUGCAAUUCACUGAUGGGGUUGUCACCGAGCUGCAAACUGAAGAGAGGCGCAUUAAAAGCAAACUAAAAGAGUUUGAAUCGGCGGUCAGCAGCAUACGCGAGGAACACAGAGAAUUAACAACCAAGAUGGACUAUUUAGAAAAUCAAUCGAGAAGGAACAACAUUGUGUUGGAUUGAUUAAUAGAUGAAAAAGCAGAAACGUGGGAAAGAUCAGAGGAGAAAGUCCGACAUAUGCUGAAGAACCAGCUGGGCCUGGAUAGUGACAGCAUUAAAAUUGAACGCGCCCACAGAGUCGGUCCAUACAAGGAAAAUGGACGAGCCAGGCAGAUUGUGAGUCCAUCAGGAAGAAGAGGAAAGAACUGUUACCACAGCUGAGAGCGGCCAGAGACAGAGGUGAUAUUGCCGUCCUGAAAUAUGACAAAUUAAUUGUUAAACCGAGGUCACAGAACGCCGGAAUUAAUAUUUAGACUUCAGCAAUGUUGCCAUUUGUAGCUGUUGAGAUCGAUCGGUCUGCAAAUGUCUGAUCCUAUACUUAUUCCCGGAUUCUCCAGUAAAGAUUUUUCAGUGGCUCAUUUCAAUAUUUGUAGCCUUAAAUAUAAGAUUCAGGAAAUUCAGUCACUGUUGUCAACAAAUACGAUAAGUGUGCUGGCUAUUUCCGAGACACAUUUAGAUGCUGCCUUUGAGAAUAAUGAAUUUGAAAUAAACGGCUAUAAGUUGUAUAGGAAGGACAGAAACAGAUUUGGAGGGGGCGUAGCCCUAUACAUUAAUGAUAAUAUGGCAAGCAAACUACGUAUGGACUUAAUGUUUGACGACCUGGAAAUUGUGUGGGUUCAGUUACACCCGCUCUAUGGCAGGCCUGUAUUAGCAGGUCGCUGCUACAGACCCCCAAGUAGUAAUAUGUUGUAUGUAGAACGAAUCUGUAAAAUGCUGGAAAGAGUAACUGAGGAAAACAAAGACAUGUUCUUAUUAGGAGACUUUAAUCUCAAUUGGUCAGCUCCUUCUUGUCCUUUAAGGAAAAAGAUAAGUUCAUCAGCGUCGGCCUGUUGCCUGUCUCAGAUGAUCGCCAUUCC
ensembl:lncRNA